rnacentral:rRNA from 1 species
GAUGAACGCUGGCGGCGUGCCUAAUACAUGCGAGUCGAGCGAACAGACGAGGAGUUUGCUCCUCUGACGUUAGCGGCGGACGGGUGAGUAACACGUGGAUAACCUACCUAUAAGACUGGGAUAACUUCGGGAAACCGGAUCUAAUACCGGAUAAUAUAUUGAACCGCAUGGUUCAACAGUGAAAGACGGUUUGGCUGUCACUUAUAGAUGGAUCCGCGCCGCCUUAGCUAGUUGGUAAGGUAACGGCUUACCAAGGCAACGAUGCGUAGCCGACCUGAGAGGGUGAUCGGCCACACUGGAACUGAGACCCGGUCCAGACUCCUACGGGAGGCAGCAGUAGGGAAUCUUCCGCAAUGGGCGAAAGCCUGACGCAGCAACGCCGCGUGAGUGAAGAAGGUCUUCGGAUCGUAAAGCUCUUUUAUUGGGGAAGAACAAAUGUGAAAUUAACUAUGCACGUCUUGACGGUACCUAAUCAGAAAGCCACGGCUAACUACGUG